GACUAUACCAAUCCCCCAGCAGGAAACAGAACCUAACAGGUGGAGCCUGGGGCGGUGGUCGGAGCAAAAGAAGGAAACACAUACUAGCAGUAGCAGCAAGCGGCAGCAGGGUGUCUGAGCAGAACCGGUCAGCUGAAAUAGACCGCUAAAUAAGAAAAUGAGUCCUAUACAUUCGUUACACACCGUUAACCAUGAUGGGGUAGUAUGGUAGGAGAUGUCUGUACCAUGAAUCAGGGUGGAUGGACAUACUUGUCUUUGAAAAAGAAGGUGGCAUCCCCCAGGGUGGAGACAGCAUCAAAGGACAGGUGAUGACGUUCUUGUUCCAGCGGUUGACUCGGUUGUUGUGACUGUAGUCCUCUACAUCAGAGACCCCACAGCGAGGGGUACUCAUCACCUCCAGGGUCUCAGAGUCCAGACUGCCUGUGGUGUUGAGGCCAAAGAAGCUCUGCAUGUCCUUCACCUUGGAGGUGAACGAGGGCAGGUUCCUCUUGAUCCGAGCCAAAGGUUGUUCUUUCUUCAGGUUGUAAUAAUGCCGGAGGUACUCCUGAGAACAGAUGAAAGCUUCUUUAGAGUCUCACUAUCAUAUAACGUAA